ACUUCGGAACUGCAUCUGAUACUGCAUGACUCGAGUGCAGCAGAGGGAAACGGAAUUCCUGGUGUAGAGGUGAAAUUCGUAGAUAUCAGGAGGAACACCGGUGGCGAAGGCGGUUUCCUGGGCUGACACUGACACUGAGGCGCGAAAGCGUGGGUAGCAAACAGGAUUGGAUACCCUGGUAGUCCACGCUGUAAACGGUGAAUACUGGGUGUGGGAGGUGUAAUGCCUUCUGUGCCGAAGCUAACGCGUUAAGUAUUCCGCCUGGGGAGUACGGCCGCAAGGUUGAAACUCAAAGGAAUUGACGGGGGCCCGCACAAGCGGUGGAGCAUGUGGUUUAAUUCGACGCAACGCGAAAAACCUUACCUGGGCUUGACAUGGAGAGAAGUCGGAUGAAAGUCUGACGUGCCUCGUAAGAGGAGCUCUCACACAGGUGCUG
rnacentral:rRNA from 1 species